AAUCUUCCGCAAUGGACGAAAGUCCGACGGAGCAACGCCGCGUGAGUGAUGAAGGUCUUCGGAUCGUAAAACUCUGUCGUUAGGGAAGAACAAGUAUCUUUCGAAUAUGGCGGUACCUUGACGGUACCUAACCAAAAAACCACGUCUAACUAUCUGCCAGCAGCCGCGGUAAUACGUAGGUGCCAAGCGUUAUCCGGAAUUAUUGGGCGUAAAGCGCGCGCAGGCGGUUUCUUAAGUCUGAUGUGAAAGCCCACGGCUCAACCGUGGAGGGUCAUUGGUAAAUGGGAAGCUUGAGUGCAGAAGAGGAGAGUGGAAUUCCAUGUGUAGCGGUGAAAUGCGUAGAGAUAUAGAGGAACACCAGUGGCGAAGGCGACUCUCUGGUCUGCAACUGACGCUGAGGCGCGAAAGCGUGGGGAGCGAACA
rnacentral:rRNA from 1 species